GGAGAGUAAGUUUAUGACCUAUUAUGACUAUGUGAUGAAGACUCCAAAAAAGUACAGAGUUCAGACAGCAUUCAGAUUGGAGAACACAUCUAUGCGUGGAGAGAUGAAGCUUCCGGAUUCCAGAAGCUCCGGCACUGAGAACUCUUCCAGACCUUGCCCCAUGUCUCUCUUCAUCUGGCUGUUCAUUUGCAUCCCUUAUCAUAUCCUUUAAUGUAUAAUAAACUGAUUCAUACUGGUGGUUUUCUCCUUACUCAUCAUUGAAUGGGAGAAGUUCUGUCCAGACCUGCUGUCCCUAAAUAAUCCAUAGUAGACAGAAAAGAGCACAAAUUUAAUUUGGAAUCAAAUGGAUCUUCUACCCAAAGGACCACUGUCCAACCAUGGAUGCUGUUCACCAGUAAAAAUAUUCAACCAUUGUUUUGUGAUUAUCGCUAAGAAAUGGUAUGCGUCAUUGCUCCAUUGACUUCAUGCUUGGCCAUAUAACAUGCCUUGUCCAUGGGAUGUGAAUGGGUGUGAUAUUUGCCACAUUCUAAAAUGUGAUUGCCUAGCUUGGAUGGGGCCCUUUCGUUCUAAGUAUCAUAUGAGCAUAAUGUCACUUAGUGACUAUUUAUCAGCUUGGAUUCCAGAAUGAGAAAAUGAGUUGAACAGAGCCAGAUGAACCCAGCUAGGUCAAGCCAAGCCCACAGAACCCCAGCUGAUCUGCAACAUUCAUGAAACAUUCUGUGGGUCUGCAAUUAGGACAGGGCAAACAGGGAUGGUUUGUCUCUGCUCCAUUCUGUCUGGUACCUCAGUUGGGAAGAUAAGAAGGCUGGGACUGAUGUGAUAGAUGGAGUCUGGAAUCAUCUGGAAGCAUCUUUACUUACAUCUUUGGAGGUUGAUGCCUGUUGUUG
rnacentral:lncRNA from 1 species